rnacentral:rRNA from 1 species
GUUAGGAAUAUUGGACAAUGGGCGCAAGCCUGAUCCAGCCAUGCCGCGUGAGUGAUGAAGGCCUUCGGGUUGUAAAGCUCUUUAGCCGAUGAUUAUAAUGACUGUAGUCGGAAAAUAAGCCCCGGCUAACUUCGUGCCAGCAGCCGCGGUAAUACGAAGGGGGCGAGCGUUAUUCGGAAUCACUGGGCGUAAAGCGUGCGUGGGCGGCUUUGCAAGUUGGGAGUGAAAGCCCAGGGCUCAACCCUGGAAUUGCUCUCAAAACUGCAAGGCUCGAAUUCGGGAGAGGAUAGCGGAAUUGUCAGUGUAGCAGUGAAAUGCGUAGAUAUUGACAGGAACACCAGUGGCGUAAGCGGCUAUCUGGACCGAUAUUGACGCUGAGGCACGAAAGCGUGGGGAUCAAACAGGAUUAGAUACCCGGGUAGUCC